rnacentral:rRNA from 1 species
AAGUCGAGGGGCAGCACAGGUAGCAAUACCGGGUGGCGACCGGCGCACGGGUGAGUAACGCGUAUGCAACUUGCCUAUCAGAGGGGGAUAACCCGGCGAAAGUCGGACUAAUACCGCAUGAAGCAGGGAUCCCGCAUGGGAAUAUUUGCUAAAGAUUCAUCGCUGAUAGAUAGGCAUGCGUUCCAUUAGGCAGUUGGCGGGGUAACGGCCCACCAAACCGACGAUGGAUAGGGGUUCUGAGAGGAAGGUCCCCCACAUUGGUACUGAGACACGGACCAAACUCCUACGGGAGGCAGCAGUGAGGAAUAUUGGUCAAUGGCCGAGAGGCUGAACCAGCCAAGUCGCGUGAGGGAUGAAGGUUCUAUGGAUCGUAAACCUCUUUUAUAAGGGAAUAAAGUGCGGGACGUGUCCCGUUUUGUAUGUACCUUAUGAAUAAGGAUCGGCUAACUCCGUGCCAGCAGCCGCGGUAAUACGGAGGAUCCGAGCGUUAUCCGGAUUUAUUGGGUUUAAAGGGUGCGUAGGCGGCCUUUUAAGUCAGCGGUGAAAGUCUGUGGCUCAACCAUAGAAUUGCCGUUGAAACUGGGGGGCUUGAGUAUGUUUGAGGCAGGCGGAAUGCGUGGUGUAGCGGUGAAAUGCAUAGAUAUCACGCAGAACCCCGAUUGCGAAGGCAGCCUGCCAAGCCAUUACUGACGCUGAUGCACGAAAGCGUGGGGAUCAAACAGGAUUAGAUACCC